rnacentral:rRNA from 1 species
AGUGAACGCUGGCGGUAGGCCUAACACAUGCAAGUCGAACGGCAGCACAGUAAGAGCUUGCUCUUACGGGUGGCGAGUGGCGGACGGGUGAGGAAUACAUCGGAAUCUACUUUUUCGUGGGGGAUAACGUAGGGAAACUUACGCUAAUACCGCAUACGACCUACGGGUGAAAGCAGGGGAUCUUCGGACCUUGCGCGAUUGAAUGAGCCGAUGUCGGAUUAGCUAGUUGGCGGGGUAAAGGCCCACCAAGGCGACGAUCCGUAGCUGGUCUGAGAGGAUGAUCAGCCACACUGUAAGUGAGACACGGUCCAGACUCCUACGGGAGGCAGCAGUGGGGAAUAUUGGACAAUGGGCGCAAGCCUGAUCCAGCCAUACCGCGUGGGUGAAGAAGGCCUUCGGGUUGUAAAGCCCUUUUGUUGGGAAAGAAAAGCAGCAGGUUAAUACCCCGCUGUUCUGACGGUACCCAAAGAAUAAGCACCGGCUAACUUCGUG